rnacentral:rRNA from 1 species
CGCCACGCCCGCUCAAGAAACUUAAAGGAAAGUUGACCGGGGGCCCGCACAAGCGGAGGAGCAUGUGGUUUAAUUCGAUGAUACGCGAGGAACCUUACCUGGGCUCGAACGUAAGAUGACUGUAGGUGAAAGCUUACAUCUCUUCGGAGCAUUUUACGAGGUGCUGCAUGGUUGUCGUCAGCUCGUGCCGUGAGGUGUCGGGUUAAGUCCCAUAACGAGCGCAACCCCUACCUUUAGUUGCCAUCAGGUAAUGCUGGGGACUCUAAAGGAACUGCCUACGCAAGUAGUGAGGAAGGCGGGGAUGACGUCAAAUCAGCACGGCCCUUACGUCCAGGGCUACACACGUGCUACAAUGGCCGAUACAGAGGGCAGCUACCUGGUGACAGGAUGCAAAUCUCCAAAGUCGGUCUCAGUUCGGAUCGGAGUCUGCAACCCGACUCCGUGAAGUUGGAUUCGCUAGUAAUCGCGCAUCAGCCAUGGCGCGGUGAAUACGUUCCCGGGCCUU